AUUUUUAGUCUGGCCUGCCCACUGAAAUUGAUUAAAGGGCCGCGGUAUUUGGACCGUGCUAAGGUAGCAUAAUCAGUAGUCUUUUAAUUAGAGACUAGAAUGAAUGGUCGGAUGAAGUAUAGUUUGUCUGCGACUAUAGGUUUUGAAUUUUACCUUUAAGUGAAAAGGCUUAGAUUAGGUAGGGGGACGAUAAGACCCUAUGAAGUUUUAUACUAUCUGAAUUUGGUGUUUAAUAUUUAAGUGAUUAACUUUAAGUUUGAGAGGUAUUUUGUUGGGGCGACAGGAAUAUAUUUUUAACUGUUUUUUGGAGAAAAAUAAAUGAUUUUUAGAAUAUUGAUCUUGUAUUAUGGAUUAUAAGAUUAAAAUUACUCUAGGGAUAACAGCGUAAUUCUUUUUGAGAGUUCUUAUCGACAAAAGUAUUUGCGACCUCGAUGUUGAAUUAAGAUUUCACUAAGGUGUAGGAGCUUUAGUUGUAGGUCUGUUC
rnacentral:rRNA from 1 species